rnacentral:rRNA from 1 species
GACGUAGGGCGCGAGCGUUGUCCGGAUUUAUUGGGCGUAAAGAGCUCGUAGGCGGUUUGUCGCGUCUGCCGUGAAAGUCCGGGGCUCAACUCCGGAUCUGCGGUGGGUACGGGCAGACUAGAGUGAUGUAGGGGAGACUGGAAUUCCUGGUGUAGCGGUGAAAUGCGUAGAGAUCGGCAGGAACACCCAGGGGGAAACCAGCCGACUGGGCAUUUGCUGACGCUGAGGUGCGAGAGCGUGGGGAGCGAACCGG